GCGCGAGUGGCGGAAAUGGCAGACGCGCUGGAUUUAGGUUCCAGUGUCUUAGGACGUGGGGGUUCAAGUCCCCCCUCGCGCA
rnacentral:tRNA from 2 species